rnacentral:rRNA from 1 species
UACGAGGGGGGCGAGCGUUGUUCGGAAUUAUUGGGCGUAAAGGGUGCGUAGGCGGUCUGAUAAGUCAUCUGUGAAAUCUCUGGGCUCAACUCAGAGUCUGCUGCAGAAACUGCCGUGCUUGAGUGUGGGAGAGGUGAGUGGAAUUCCCGGUGUAGCGGUGAAAUGCGCAGAUAUCAGGAAGAACACCCGUGGCUAAGGCGGUUCUCUAGUACGGUACUGACGCUGAGACGCGAAAGCGUGGGGAGCGAACAGG